AGCUCCAAUAGCGUAUAUUAAAGUUGUUGCGGUUAAAAGCUCGUAGUUGGAUUUCUGCCGAGGACGACCGGUCCGCCCUCUGGGUGAGCAUCUGGAUCGGCCUGGGCAUCUUCUUGGGGAACGUAGCUGCACUUGACUGUGUGGUGCGGUAUCCAGGACUUUUACUUUGAGGAAAUUAGAGUGUUUCAAGCAGGCUUCCGCCUUGAAUACAUUAGCAUGGAAUAAUAAUAUAGGACCCUGUCUUUAUUUUGUUGGUUUUGGUAGCUGUGGUAAU
rnacentral:rRNA from 1 species